UCUUAAAAGAUGAUUCAUUGUUUUAAUUAUAUUGGUUGUUCAUGUCAUACACGGUUUUGUGUCUUUAUGUUUUCAUUGAAUUUAACAGGGCUAAAUACGCUUGUCAUUAUAAAACACGGAGGGUCUCAAAGUGACGGGGCAUUCAAACGCCAAAAGAAACAAACACAUCGAUUGUUGCUGCUACAGAAGAUGAAAAUAAAUCUGAAUUUGGUGUGUUCUGUUGUUAAAGGAAAGUAGGAAUGUUGCUUCGCAGACAUGCACAUAGAAGAUACCGCGAGACUACUCGUGAACCAUCAAGUACAGGAACGAUUUCAUGAUGAUUCACAACUUGAUUUGAAGCAAUUUCAUUAGUAGCAGGACAACAUCUUGGCUAGUUAUUGGACAAGAUUUUUGGGUUUGAAGAGAUGGGACACAAAUGACCUUAAUUGUAUUACUGCACUCUUGUUUGGAAGCUUGUUGCAGUUUUUGGAACUUUAUCAGGCUUUGACAGACCAAAGUACAGUAGAUAUGAAUAUUUCAAAUCUAGUGUGAGGAUUGACCUACAAUCUGGUUCAGCUCUUGGGAAUUAUUGUUGUGAUGUCUCAAGCUGCAUGGCAGGUGUUCAUAGUAUUGAUUCCUGUCAUGGCUGCUUGCAUAUGCUACCAGUGAUACUACUCAGCAUCAACACGGGAAUUGACGCGAUUAACUGGUACAUGUCAAGCUCCAGUUAUACAACAUUUUUCCGAAACAAUUUCUGGAUCAACAACCAUAAGCUGUUUUGAGCAAGAAAACAAAUAUGCAAUUGAUAGACAAAUACUCACAACCUAAAUUAUACAGCACCAGUGUGAUGAAGUGGUUGAGUUUCAUAUUGGAUCUUUUAUCCUCUACCAUAUUUGCUUUCAGCUUGGUUUUCUUGGUAUCUCUUCCAAGUUCAAUAGUCGGUCCUCGCAUUGUGGGAUUGGCUGUGACAUAUGGGAUUAAUCUAAAUGCUGUACAAUCUACUUUCGUUUCGAUUUUUUGCAAUUUAGAGAA